AGUGGAUGGGGAGCAACCUAGUUGUGCGCGUGUAAAGGUAGUGCCAAGAAAAGCGAUGAUCAUGUUGAAAAUCAAUUCCCGGUACCCGAAACCGACACAGGUGGGCAAGUAGAGAAUACUAAGGGGCGCGAGGUAACUCUCUCCAAGGAACUCGGCAAAAUGACCCCGUAACUUAGGGAGAAGGGGUGCCACCGAGAGGUGGUCGCAGUGAAGAGGCCCAGGCGACUGUUUAGCAAAAACAUAGGUCUCUGCAAACUCGAAAGAGGAGGUAUAGGGGCUGACGCCUGCCCAGUGCCGGAAGGUUAAAGAAGUUGGUCAGUUUUAGGAUGAAGCUAGCGACUGAAGCCCCGGUGAACGGCGGCCGUAACUAUAACGGUCCUAAGGUAGCGAAAUUCCUUGUCGGGUAAGUUCCGACCCGCACGAAAGGCGUAACGAUCUGGGCGCUGUCUCGGAGAGAGGCUCGGCGAAAUAGGAUUGUCUGUGAAGAUACGGACUACCUGCAUUUGGACAGAAAGACCCUAUGAAGCUUUACUAUAGCUUGGAAUUGUGUUCGGGCUUCCUGUGCGCAGGAUAGGUGGGAGGCGUAGAAGGUAUUCUUGUGGGGAUACUGGAGCCAACGGUGAGAUACCUCUCUCAGGAGGCUAGAAUUCUAACUUAAUUAAGGACAGUUUCAGGUGGGUAGUUUGACUGGGGCGGUCGCCUCCAAAAAGGUAACGGAGGCGUACAAAGGUUCCCUCAGACUGAUUGGAAAUCAGUCGAAGAGUGCAAAGGCAGAAGGGAGCUUGACUGCGAGAAGUACAGUUCGAGCAGGGUGGAAACACGGUCUUAGUGAUCCGACGGUGCUGUGUGGAAGGGCCGUCGUUCAACGGAUAAAAGUUACUCUAGGAUAACAGGCUGAUCUCCCCCAAGAGUUCACAUCGACGGGGAGGUUUGGCACCUCGAUGUCGGCUCAUCGCAACCUGGGGCGGAAGUACGUCCCAAGGGUUGGGCUGUUCGCCCAUUAAAGCGGUACGUGAGCUGGGUUCAGAACGUCGUGAGACAGUUCGGUCCAUAUCCGAUGUAGGCGUGAGAAUAUUGAGAGGAGCCUUCCUUAGUACGAGAGGACCGGGAAGGACGCACCGCUGGUGUACCUGUUAUGAUGCCAAUUGUAAACGCAGGGUAGCCAAGUGCGGAGAGGAUAACCGCUGAAAGCAUCUAAGUGGGAAGCCCACCUCAAGAUGAGUAUUCUGGUGUAAGGUCACGGGAAGACGACCCGUAAAUAGGCACGAGGUGGAAGUGCAGAGAUGUAUGAAGCCGAAGUGUACUAAUAGACCGUCGGCUUGA
rnacentral:rRNA from 1 species